UUUUGGACAAUGGGCGCAAGCCUGAUCCAGCCAUGCCGCGUGUGGGAAGAAGGCCUUCGGGUUGUAAACCACUUUUGUCAGGGAAGAAACGGUCUGGCCUAAUACGCUGGACUAAUGACGGUACCUGAAGAAUAAGCACCGGCUAACUACGUGCCAGCAGCCGCGGUAAUACGUAGGGUGCAAGCGUUACCCCCGAAUUACUGGGCGUAAAGCGUGCGCAGGCGGCUUUGCAAGACAGGUGUGAAAUCCCCGGGCUCAACCUGGGAACUGCAUUUGUGACUGCAUGGCUAGAGUACGGUAGAAGGGGAUGGAAUUCCGCGUGUAGCAGUGAAAUGCGUAGAUAUGCGGAGGAACACCGAUGGCGAAGGCAAUCCCCUGGACCUGUACUGACGCUCAUCACAAGC
rnacentral:rRNA from 1 species